UUAUCUCUCCACCUGUGCACAUUUUGUAGUCUUUCGAUAUCUCUCGAGGCAACUCGGAUUUUAGAAUCGUCGUGCUGUACAAGUCGGCUUUUCUUUCCUUUCCAAGACUAUGUUUUUAUAUACACCAAAGUAUGUUUAAAGAAUGUCAUCAAUAGGAACUUGUUUCCUAUAAAAUCAUACAACUUUCAGCAACGGAUCUCUUGGCUCUCGCAUCGAUGAAGAACGCAGCGAAAUGCGAUAAGUAAUGUGAAUUGCAGAAUUCAGUGAAUCAUCGAAUCUUUGAACGCCCCUUGCGCUCCUUGGUAUUCCGAGGAGCAUGCCUGUUUGAGUGUCAUUAAAUUCUCAACCUUCCAACUUUUAUUAGCUUGGUUAGGCUUGGAUGUGGGGGGUUGUGGGCUUCAUUAAUGAGGUCGACUCUCCUUAAAUGCAUUAGCGGAACUUUUGUGGACCGUCUAUUGGUGUGAUAAUUAUCUACGCCGUGGAUGUGAAGCAACUUUAUGAAGUUCAGCUUCUAACCGUCCAUUAAUUUGGACAAUUUUGAAAAUUUGACCUCAAAUCAGGUAGGACUACCCGCUGAACUUAAGCAUAUCAAUAAGCGGAGGAAAAGAAACUAACAAGGAUUCCCCUAGUAACUGCGAGUGAAGCGGGAAAAGCUCAAAUUUAAAAUCUGGCAGCCUUUGGCUGUCUGAGUUGUAAUCUAGAGAAGUAUUAUCCGCGCUGGACCGUGUACAAGUCUCCUGGAAUGGAGCGUCAUAGAGGGUGAGAAUCCCGUCUUUGACACGGACUGCCAGGGCUUUGUGAUGUGCUCUCAAAGAGUCGAGUUGUUUGGGAAUGCAGCUCAAAACUGGGUGG
rnacentral:rRNA from 1 species